GUGGAUUAGAUACCCUAGUAGUCCACGCCGUAAACGUUGGGCACUAGGUGUGGGCUCUUACCAACGGAGUCCGUGCCGUAGCUAACGCAUUAAGUGCCCCGCCUGGGGAGUACGGCCGCAAGGCUAAAACUCAAAGGAAUUGACGGGGGCCCGCACAAGCGGCGGAGCAUGUUGCUUAAUUCGAUGCAACGCGAAGAACCUUACCUGGGUUUGACAUGUAGGGAAAAGCCGUGGAGACACGGUGUCCUUCGGGGCCUUACACAGGUGGUGCAUGGUCGUCGACAACU
rnacentral:rRNA from 1 species